UACGUAGGGCGCAAGCGUUGUCCGGAAUCAUUGGGCGUAAAGAGCGUGUAGGCGGUCCGGUAAGUCCGUUGUGAAAGUCAGGGGCUCAACCCUUGAAUGCCGGCGGAUACUGUCGGGCUAGAGUCCGGAAGAGGCAAGUGGAAUUCCCGGUGUAGCGGUGAAAUGCGCAGAUAUCGGGAGGAACACCUAUGGCGAAGGCAGCUUGCUGGGACGGUACUGACGCUGAGACGCGAAAGCGUGGGGAGCAAACAGG
rnacentral:rRNA from 1 species